AAUGAACGCUGGCGGCAUGCCUAAUACAUGCAAGUCGAACGAGAACAUCGGGUCCUUUGUCGCCUGGGUUCGUCACGGGUCGGAACCUUACCUUAGGGACGGACUAACUCCCCGACAGGGAUACUAUUAGCGGAUAAUGUCUUCGGACCAAAGAUUUAUCGACCUUGGAUGUGCCCGCGUUGGAUUAGCUUUUUAGUACGGUAAUAGCCUAUCAAGGCGACGAUCCAUAGCUUGUUUGAGAGAAUGGUCAGCAACACCGAGACUGGGACACGGCCGAGACUCCUACGGGAGGGAGGAGUGCGGAAUAGUGGACAGUGGGCGAAAGGCUGAUCCAGCAAUGACGGGUGAGUGAUGAAAGCCUUAGGGUUGUAAAGCGCUAUUACCCAGGAUGAUAAUGACAGUACCGGGACAAUAAGCCCCGGCUAACUCCGUG
rnacentral:rRNA from 1 species